rnacentral:rRNA from 1 species
CCAAUAGCGUAUAUUAAAGUUGUUGUGGUUAAAAAGCUCGUAGUUGAACCUUGGGCCUGGCUGGCCGGUCCGCCUCACCGCGUGUACUGGUCCGGCCGGGCCUUUCCCUCUGUGGAACCCCAUGCCCUUCACUGGGUGUGGCGGGGAAACAGGACUUUUACUUUGAAAAAAUUAGAGUGCUCCAGGCAGGCCUAUGCUCGAAUACAUUAGCAUGGAAUAAUAGAAUAGGACGUGUGGUUCUAUUUUGUUGGUUUCUAGGACCGCCGUAAUGAUUAAUAGGGCCAGUCGGGGGCAUCAGUAUUCAAUUGUCAGAGGUGAAAUUCUUGGAUUUAUUGAAGACUAACUACUGCGAAAGCAUUUGCCAAGGAUGUUUUCAUUAAUCAGGAACGAAAGUUAGGGGAUCGAAGACGAUCAGAUACCGUCGUAGUCUUAACCAUAAACUAUGCCGACUAGGGAUCGGACGAUGUUAUUUUUUGACUCGUUCGGCACCUUACGAGAAACCAAAGUGUGGGUC